rnacentral:misc_RNA from 1 species
UAAAAAAUAAUUAAUGGUGUAACAAUUAAUUGUAUUUGUUAAGAGGUUAAUAAAAAAAAUUUAAAUGAAGUAUGGUGUUAUACCAUUUAUUAAGCUUUGUUAACCUAGUCUCCUCAGGGUUAACAUUUAACCCCUAAAGUUAAUCUAUUCUCUUAUUGUAUCCAAAUAACAUUAAUGAAAUGUUAAAAGUCAUAAAGAUAAUAAUUAUCCCUAGUUAACCUUGUACUUAAACCCUCUAACAGUAAUCUUUCAGUUUUCACUAAUUACUGUUACGUGAAGAAAACUUUCAUGCUGUCACAUACAAGAAUCAAAGCCUAAGCAUGAAUUCCAGAAGCACAAAUAGUCAUCAUGUUAUGACAAAUACUUGGGAGUGGUAGGUAAUAAAAGUGAUCUUAACACACACAAAAGGGCAAAAAAAUAAAAAAUAAAAAUAA